AUUGAACGCUGGCGGCAGGCCUAACACAUGCAAGUCGAGCGCGCGGCGGACGGGUGAGUAAUGUCUGUGAAACUGCGCGUUGGAGGGGGAUAACUACUGGAAACGGUAGCUAAUACCGCAUACCAUCAGAUGUGUCCAGAUGGGGUUAGCUCGUGGGUGGGGUAAUGGCUCACCUAGGCGACGAUCCCUAGCUGGUGUGAGAGGAUGACCAGCCACACUGGAACUGAGACACGGUCCAGACUCCUACGGGAGGCAGCAGUGGGGAAUAUUGCACAAUGGGCGCAAGCCUGAUGCAGCCAUGCCGCGUGUGUGAAGAAGGCCUUCGGGUUGUAAAGCACUUUCAGCGGGGAGGCGUUACCCGCAGAAGAAGCACCGGCUAACUCCGUGCCAGCAGCCGCGGUAAUAC
rnacentral:rRNA from 1 species